CGCGAUGACUCCCUCCGGGCUGACCAAGAUCAGGCCUGCACCCGCGCCUGCCAUGCUGGAAGAUCCAUCCACAUAGAGGGUCCAAAAGCAAUCAGAGGGAUCGGCCUCUUUGUUGGGGGAGCUCGGGUGAGACUUCAGGUUGUCAACUUCGCCCUGCUCGGGUUCGGCCUCCUCCGGGAUGGUGCACUCUACUAUGAAAUCUGCCAAUAUUUGGGCCUU
rnacentral:lncRNA from 1 species